GGUUAAGCGACUAAGCGUACACGGUGGAUGCCCUGGCAGUCAGAGGCGAUGAAGGACGUGCUAAUCUGCGAUAAGCGCCGGUAAGGUGAUAUGAACCGUUAUAACCGGCGAUUUCCGAAUGGGGAAACCCAGUGUGAUUCGUCACACUAUCAUUAACUGAAUCCAUAGGUUAAUGAGGCGAACCGGGGGAACUGAAACAUCUAAGUACCCCGAGGAAAAGAAAUCAACCGAGAUUCCCCCAGUAGCGGCGAGCGAACGGGGAGGAGCCCAGAGCCUGAAUCAGCAUGUGUGUUAGUGGAAGCGUCUGGAAAGGCGCGCGAUACAGGGUGACAGCCCCGUACACAAAAGCGCAUGUGCUGUGAGCUCGAUGAGUAGGGCGGGACACGUGGUAUCCUGUCUGAAUAUGGGGGGACCAUCCUCCAAGGCUAAAUACUCCUGACUGACCGAUAGUGAACCAGUACCGUGAGGGAAAGGCGAAAAGAACCCCGGCGAGGGGAGUGAAAAAGAACCUGAAACCGUGUACGUACAAGCAGUGGGAGCACCCUUUGGGG
rnacentral:rRNA from 1 species